rnacentral:RNase_P_RNA from 1 species
GAGGAAAGUCCGGGCUCCGCAGGGCAGGGUGCCGGGUAACUCCCGGUGAAGGUGACUUCAAGGAAAGUGCAACAGAGAUAUACCGCGGGCUAGAGAACAGAGAACAGAAUAUUAAGUUUGCUGCAAAGGCAAUCGUAAUCUGGUCUCUGACAUCUGUUCUCUGUUCUCUGGAACGUAAGGGUGGAAAGGUGAGGUAAGAGCUCACCAGCGGCAUGGCGACUUGCCGGUCUAUGUAAACCCCACUCGGAGCAACACCAUGGAGGGACAUAUGGGCUGCCCGCCCGUCCCAUGGAGGUGGCUUGAGCUGUACAGAAAUGUAUGGCCUAGAUAGAUGAUCGUCAAAUACAGAAUCCGGCUUA